rnacentral:rRNA from 1 species
UACGUAGGGGGCGAGCGUUGUCCGGAGUUACUGGGCGUAAAGGGCACGCAGGCGGUCUCUUAAGUUCGGAGUGACAGUCGUCGGCUUAACUGACGAAGGCCUUGGAAGACUGAGAGACUUGAGGGCUCAAGAGGGACACGGAAUUCCGGGUGUAGUGGUGAAAUGCGUAGAUAUCCGGAGGAACACCAAAGGCGUAGGCAGUGUCCUGGGGAGUACCUGACGCUCAGGUGCGAAAGCCAGGGGAGCGAACGGG